rnacentral:rRNA from 1 species
UACGAAGGGGGCUAGCGUUGCUCGGAAUUACUGGGCGUAAAGGGCGCGUAGGCGGACAGUUUAGUCAGAGGUGAAAGCCCAGGCUCAACCUUGGAAUUGCCUUUGAUACUGGCUGUCUUGAGUUCGGGAGAGGUGAGUGGAAUGCCGAGUGUAGAGGUGAAAUUCGUAGAUAUUCGGCGGAACACCAGUGGCGAAGGCGACUCACUGGCCCGAUACUGACGCUGAGGCGCGAAAGCGUGGGGAGCAAACAGG